rnacentral:rRNA from 1 species
UACGGGGGGAGCAAGCGUUGUUCGGAUUUACUGGGCGUAAAGGGCGCGUAGGCGGCCACCGCAAGUCGACUGUGAAAUCUCCGGGCUUAACCCGGAACGGUCAGCCGAUACUGCGGGGCUAGAGUGCAGAAGGGGCAACUGGAAUUCUCGGUGUAGCGGUGAAAUGCGUAGAUAUCGAGAGGAACACCUGCGGUGUAGACAGCUUACUGGACCACUUCUGACGCUGAGACACGAAAGCGUGGGUAGCAAACAGG